rnacentral:lncRNA from 1 species
UUUUUUUUUUUUUUUUUUUUUUACAGGCUUACCUGUUGUUAGAAGAGCAAAACUUCUCUUUAUCUUGUCUUGACAGAACCCUUGAGCAGCAUAGCUAUAUAGAGACCAUUUUCUAAAAGGCUUUGAGAAAACUAUUUGCCCACUCAAACACCGUCUGAGGUUAAUGACACCGUGGCAUCAAGUAUUAUGGCUAUUCUUUCCUGACAUCUUUUUGUUGCCUGCAGUGGAGACAACACUAAAAGACAGGUCUGAAGUCAGUUAUGUGAGCACAGAGGAAAAAGUCUUUUAUAUUUUUGAGCAGGGCCCUCAUGUGGAUUUUUUGUCUCUGCGAAGUAACACAGCACAGAAAAUCUCCCACUCACCAUAGUAAAAUAUUGGUAGAGCAAAUUCUGUAUAUUAAUUCAUUAACGCUUAUGUAAUGAGUGCCUGCUAUGUGUCAGAAACUGAAUGCAACACUGAAGACACAAAGUUAAGACAUGUCCCUUUUCUGAAGCCACCAAGGUUUAGUUAGGGAGACAUGUCCAUUUGAGAGAUGCUUAGAGACUUCUUGUUUGGACAUGUGGGUGUAGAGUCAUUUCUCCCAGCUUCUCUUCACCAAAUAUGACAAUAAACCCUGGAUAUAAUGCAAGAGGCAAUGGGAGGAGAACUCUGAAUGCUGGAAAGAGGAAGGGGAAAUGGUUUGUGAUGUCAAAACUAAAGGAAAAACACAGUGGCAGAGGUCCUACAACCUUUCACCUGGCAAAGAAAAGCUAUCCAGCCUCACGUGCUGAAUCUCCUAUCAGAGAUGAGAAGAGAACCCCUAACGGGUUCAUCCCUCCCCUGGGUCAAACAGGAAUUCAGGGAACAACACCAGGCAUGCAGGGCAAUGUGUGCAAGGGAUAGAGAUCAAGACCCACCCUGGAAAUCAGCAGGCAAGGCUCAGGAUCCUCUUCCACCCAGAGAAACUGGGAGGCCAGGUGACACCUGCCAUGGGGAGCCACAGCAGGCAGCCAGGCCCAGAGGGCUCUUUUGUCCCUGUGAACCUGAGACUCCAUUCCCUCAGGGGAGGUGACAGGGUGAGUGGGCAACAGUGGCAAAAAGGAUCCAGCUACAAUAAGAGUGUCCCGCAGCGGAACUCUCUGUCCUUGGCAGGGAGGGGGAGACUCCCACCACCUAGAGGCACACGGCUCUGGGGACUCCUACCUCCUCUCCAAGCACUGGAAGUGUCCAAUGGGAGCCCCAGUGGCACCAGAUGAACCAAGCAGGCAUAACUAGGACUCUAAAGUUUCUAAAAAUUAAAUUGUCCAAAAGAAAAAAGAAAAUAACAAGUGUGAGUGGGGAUGUGGAGAAAUUAGGGCCCUCAUAUGUGACUGGUAGGAUGGAAAAUGGUGCAACCACUGUGCAAAACUGGUUUUUUGAUGGCUCCUCAAAAAGUUAAACAUGGAAUUAAAACAUAAAAUAUAGGAUUACUUGGCAAUUCCACUCCUAUAUAUACACCCAAAAGAACUGAAGUCAGGUAUUCAGACAAACAUUUGUACACAGAUGUUCAUAGCAGCACUAUUUACAAUAGCCAAUGGGUGGAAAUAACCCAAAUGUCCAUCAACUGGUUCUCCAUCAACAGGUAAACAAAAUGCAGCAUAUCCAUAGAAUGGAAAAUCAUUCAGUCACAAAAAGUAAUAAAGUACUUAUACAUGCUACAACAUUCUAAAAGUUGAAAGCACUAUGCUAAGCGAAAGUGAAGUCAUGUGUUGUUUGAAUUUCAUUUCUGUAAAAUCUCUAGAAUAAGCAAAUCUAUAGACACAAAAGUAGACAGGGAGAUGAUUCCUAAAGGGUACAGAAUUUCUCAUUUCUGUGAUGAAAAUGUUUUAAAAUUGACUUUGGUGAUGGUUGCAUGUGUCAGUAAUUAUACUAAACCCCCCUGAAGUGUACAGUUAAAAAAAAAAAAUUAAUUGUCGCUGGAACCACAGUCUGCAGAGUUAAGCCAGGAGCUGUGGGCUCAACCCAAGCAGGUGACUGUCUGCUAAAAUAAAUUUAAAUAGGACCUAGAGUCUCCUAACAUAAUUAUCACAAGGUUGAUACAAUUAAAAAUCACACAUCAUACCAAGAAAAGAUGAUCAACCAAUGCCAACACCAAGAUGAAUAAGAUACUGGAAUUGUCUGACAAUCCUUGAUGAUCCUUUUAUGAAGCAUCCUUCAUAAAAAUGCUUCAACAAGAAAUUACACAUUCUCAGAGUUCCCGUAUACUCACAGGCCUUCCUUUUGUUAUAAGUAGCUAGUAUGGUUUUGCAUUGAAAUCACAAAAUGGGAGUUAGUGGUUGUUCCUUAUAAAAAGAUUUAUGAGCCACAAUUUCAAAAAAGACUAAAAAAGAGUGUAUGCAUGACUUUGUAGGAGCAAGACGCAUGCUCCUAUGAACUGGCUGAAGUGAAUUCUGAUAGUGACCAUGCACUGUGCUGAAUUACUUUGUCCCAUGUCUGAGGAAAUAAAGGGUUGAAUACUUUUAUUUUUAAAUACUGAAUUUUUGCUCUUGACUCUAGUUUUGUUUUCCUAAUUUAGUAGAAAUGCUGAGUAUUAUAUUUAGAAGAAUAUUUGUUCUUUGCAUCCUAUUGUUAUGUAAGUAAUAAGCAAGUGUGGCGACCAACAAUUUUUUUUGAGUUAUCACCAUACACAAGGCUCUAGGAACACAUAUUAUUGAGAAAUUCAGCUCUAAGAAAUUAUCACGUUUUUUAAAGACUAUUGCCACUUGAGGACAAUUGAUAUCUAGUUAAUGAUGUGGAACUCAGAAUAUGCUAAAAGCAACCAGCAUUUAUCCUGCUCCUCUUCAUGAAGAGGUUGCAAGCUGCGCACCACACUUUUGACUUAAAUAAGUGGAAUCAGCCAAAAUCCUGGAGGCUAGCAAUCCUACAGAAGAAAAGGACAAUAAGAAGGGAACCCUCCAUGUUUUUUAUUUUGUUUUCUCAUUUGUUAUUUUGGCUGUGUCCACGGCAUGUAGAGGUUCCUAGGCCAGGGAUUGAACCCAAGCCACAGCAGUGACACCAAAUCCUUAACUGCUAGGCCACCAGGGAACUCCUUCUCAUUUGUAUUUGCUAUGCUCAAACUUUCUAAAAUCCUCACCAAAUAUGGUGUAAUACUGUGGUUCAUAAUAAAAAAUACAUAUUUUGUCUUCAUUCCUCACACAGUGCUCUUAAAACUCUUGACAUUUCCUGAGAGAGAUAAACGUGUCACUUUUAUGUUAACUAGGUGACUUCCCAAAAGUCCCCAGGUCCCUUCAGGGUGGGAGCUGGCUGCCAGUGGUGCCAUUGAUGUGACUGGAAGGUUGAAACUUUCAGUUUCACCCACUGAUCUCCUGGGAGGCAAGAGGCGCCGGAGAUUGAGUUCAGUCACCAAUGGCCAAUGAGCUCACCAAGCUGCCUUUGUAAUGAAGCAUCCAUAAAACCCGAAGAGGAUGGGGUCCCAGUGGGUGAACACGUGGAGAUCCUGGGAGAGUGGCGAGGAAGAGGUGUGAAAGCUCUGCCCCCUUUCCCCACACCUUGCCCCGCAUGUCUCUUCCAUCUGACUGUUUCUGAGUUAUAUCCUUUUACAAUGAGCCAGUGCUCUAGUGAGGAAACCAUUUCCCUGAGUUCUGUGAGCCACUCUGGCAAAUUCAUCAAGCCCCAAUGGGGGGCUAAGGGAAAUUCUGCUCUACAGCUGGUCGGUCAGAAGCACAGGUGACAACUUGUCCUUGCCACUGGUGUCUGAAAGUAGGGGGUGGUCCUGUAGGAUCUGGUACCAUCCCCAGGAGAUAGUGUCAGAAUUGAGUUCAAUUGCAGGACACCCAGUUGGUGUGAGAGAAUUGCUUGGUGGUGGUGGUGGGGAAACCUGCACGUUGGAAUUGGGUGAAAAAUCCCACAUGGUCAUCCAAAGAGUCACUCAUCUACUUAGUUGUAUCUGUAGUUACAUAAUUGUGAGCCAAGUGUCCAUGUUUAGCAAUUAGAGCCCACAGAAAGGUAAUGUUUGUUCCUCUUCUUUUAUCAGGAAUCAACAGAUACAAUAAUAAUACCGUGAAAUCUAUUUUUCUACCAAACUCGGAGGGAUGUGCAGAAAGCAAAGAAAGCAUGAUGCACGCAAUGCCAAAGAAAUGAGGCUGUUCAUUGCCAGCGUGCUGCCACGCCUGUCACUGCUGUAGCAGCAAGAGCCGCUGCUUGUGCCAAAAACAUCCUCGCUGUGACACACCAUGCAGAUUUCAGCACUCCUGUCAGAGCAAACUAUAAAUAUAAAAAUUAACCCCAAAAGGGAUUUGUCACCAUCAGGGAGCAGAAAUAUUUCAAUUUCUG